AACGGCUGGCGGCGUGCCUAAUACAUGCAAGUCGAACGGUCUUUCUAUGGAAGCUUGCUUCCACUGAAAAGAUAGUGGCGAACGGGUGAGUAACAACGUGGGUAACCUGCCCAUAAGAGGGGGAGUAACAUCCGGAAACGGGUGCUAAUACCGCAUAGUUUUCUUGAUCGCAUGAUCGGGAAAGGAAAGACGGCCUUUGUGCUGUCGCUUAUGGAUGGACCCGCGGCGUAUUAGUUAGUUGGUGAGGUAACGGCUCACCAAGACGAUGAUACGUAGCCGACCUGAGAGGGUGAUCGGCCACAUUGGGACUGAGACACGGCCCAAACUCCUACGGGAGGCAGCAGUAGGGAAUCUUCCGCAAUGGACGAAAGUCUGACGGAGCAACGCCGCGUGAGUGAAAGAAGGUUUUCGGAUCGUAAAACUCUGUUGUCAGAGAAGAACAAGUUGGAGAGUAACUGCUCCAGCCUUGACGGUAUCUGACCAGAAAGCCACGGCUAACUACGUGCCAGCCGCCGC
rnacentral:rRNA from 1 species